rnacentral:rRNA from 1 species
AAGCGUUGUUCGGAAUUACUGGGCGUAAAGGGCGCGUAGGCGGCCUUCUAAGUCGAACGUGAAAUCCCCGGGCUCAACCCGGGAACUGCGUCCGAUACUGGAAGGCUUGAAUCCGGGAGAGGGAUGCGGAAUUCCAGGUGUAGCGGUGAAAUGCGUAGAUAUCUGGAGGAACACCGGUGGCGAAGGCGGCAUCCUGGACCGGCAUUGACGCUGAGGCGCGAAAGCCAGGGGAGCAAACGGG